AGUGGGAUGACGUCAAGUCCUCAUGGCCCUUAUGGUAGGGCUACACACACGCUACAAUGGUCAGUACAAUAGGUUGCCAAGCCGCGAGGCGGAGCCAAUCCUAAAAAGCUGGCCUCAGUUCAGAUUGCAGUCUGCAACUCGACUGCAUGAAGUUGGAGUUGCUAGUAACCGCAGGUCAGCUAUACUGCGGUGAAUACGUUCCCGGGGACUU
rnacentral:rRNA from 1 species